CUUCCUGGGUAGAACACCAAAAGCAUAUGUAAAGAACUUUUACAUUGGAGCGAUACAGAGAAGAUUAGCAUGGCUCCUGUACAAGGAUGAUAUGCAAAUUUAUGAAGCAUUCCAGAUUUUU
rnacentral:snRNA from 1 species